ACUCCAUCCAUGCUUUUGUUCCGGCCCUCGGGUCCAGUUUAAGACCCAUUGUGGCCCUCGAGUCAAAAAGUUUGCCCACCCCUGGACUAGGCUGUACUCCGGGUUCUGGGACUCAUUCCCAGUAGCCAACAUUUUCCUUUCAAACAGAGAUGAAAGGCGUGGCCCUGUUCUUAAAUAACCCCAAGCCACGGGGACACGGACAGGCACACCGUCAGCAUGGGCACGGCCAGGGCUCGGGAUGAGUCAGCACACAGUGCCGGAGGGGGUUGUCAGGAAAGGUGCUGUUUGCUCUGGGUCUUGUGAGCUGACCAGGGGUGUGUUUAGCAGAUGGGAGGCGGGCAAUCGCCCUUCUCAUAGGUCUGUUGUCCAACUGAAGCUGGGACCUAAGCAGAUAUUUGGCUGCUGGUCUUGUGUUUGUUUUCCUGAAGUCAAACAGACAGACCCAGGCACUAGCAAACACUGGCUAGGGGUCACUCUGGUACUUACUUAUAAAUACCUUUGACCACUGACCCAGCACAGAGUUUUUUUUGGUCCACUUUCCAGGAAGAUGUUCAGCAGCCUCACCCUGAGCAAACUGUUAGGAUGCGGGAAGAUGCGGGUCCUGUAAUCUCCUGGGCGAGGACCGGAAGGGAGCGCUGUUAACAAGGCUGUUCACUGCUGGGUGCUGUGCAGCCCGACCAGCUCGGCCUCUGUCAUGCCCAUCAGCUGGCUGUCAAGAGGAAUGAGGACACGUCCAUGGCGGGACUUACCAGGCAGAUCUUUAGAAGCCGGGACUGCCCCCUCUCAUUUUAACCUCAGGCAACUGGAGAAUGCGACAUGACCACUAAGUCUUGUGGAGGCUACGAAAAGCCACUGCUCAGGACGACUGAAGUCAGAUGAGAUGCCUGUGAGGCCAUCUUGGGACCUGCGUCUGAUGAGUUCAGGGGAAGAGCUGGGGUUGCAUUGCAAACCCUCAAGAAAUCCCCGGGAAUGAAGAUCGCUUCUGUGCUGCCCGGUGGAGACCAGGACAGGAUUUCCUCCCCGGCAGCCUACUGUCUCUCUCCGCUCACGGGAAAGCCCGCGCACCUUGAAAGAGAAGAGGAUAAAACACAAAACUGGGGGCGUAGUUCGGUUCUCUCACUAAGAUCGGUAGCAACAGGACCCACUCACUUGGAAGCCCACCACCCUGGGACCGGUCUUCUCCUCUGAGCCUGGCCACAGCUCUCCCUGUGCAACAAGGGGAGGAAGGUGUUUCUGGAAGGCGGGUAAACCGUUUGCUGCCCCCUUCUCCUCGAGGGCCCGUUUCUGCCCCUCCUCACCACCCUCUAACGUUCGGUAAAGGCUGUGGAAACCCCAGUCACUCCAUGUGAUCCUGGUCCUAUAGGAUGUAUAUCUUACUUGUGAGUUAAAAUUUACAAAAUUAAAAGUCAAAAUCUCCUAUUUUAUAGGUGAAGGCUUCGAAACGGACCUGGGCCAAAGAUCCUUCACCUUUCUGUGCCUCAGUCUCUCCUGUGAAAUGAGAGGCUGAAUUAGCUCCCUAUAAAGUCCAACAUUUUACAACUUAUGAAUCAGAGUACGAUACCUGUUAAAGUAGAAUGCCAACACGCGCCAGCUAGCAAAUCCCAUUUUUAAUAUUUAAUAGAAAUUGGCUCAAAACCCUAUCCUUCAUGCAACCCAUGAUUCCUCUACUGUUUCAGGGAAUUGCGGGGGCGGGGCGGGGGGGCAGUGACUUCCAUUUCUCCUGGUGACCCCUGGAUCUGAGCUCCCCCAAUCACUGGGUUCUAGUUUGUGAACCAUCUCACUUCAGGCACAUGCUGAUCCUUUUCUGUGUCGCAUGACCCUUGACCAGACUCAUCCUCAUUCUCUGAAAUUCCACUGGCCCCAACAUGCAAGUAUCAGACAUGAUGGAAGCUUCAAGACAAUGGAAGGAGUUCGCACAUUAGGGACUCAGCAACUUAAAAUACCGGCACCCUCGUCUUCACCUUCUGGGGAGUUUCCCAGUGGUGCGCUCUCUCCACUUGCCCUCACUGUGCCGCUCUGCUGUGCUCACUGGCUUCUUGGCUGCCCCCCGCCACGUCCCCCCACAAAGGCCUGUACCCACGUCUGCAGGUCACUGGCUUCUUCAGGUCCAGACCACACCCCUGGGGCUUCACUUCCCUCAGGCCUUCAGGUGCUUUCCUUCAUAGAAACUUGGGUGCCUGUAUUUCAUCAGAAAGUUCACCCCCCUUUUGGUUUGGGCUCUGAGCUUCCCAGCACCCAAAGCAAAAAAAAAAAGAGAGAUAUUAGUUACAAGGCUCCCUAUACUUACAAAUUCCAGACAAGCCAGCUGUUCGGAUAAGCUGGACUCGUCCUGGCCCUGCACACUCUGCCCCAGUUCACGGUCGUGGGGGCAUUGUGGGGGUCACGCCCACCUGCGGCCUGCGCGGCGUAUGCCCGGCUUAGCUCAGGAGGUCACUGUAGCUUUUCAAGACUGUUUUCAAGUUUGAAACCUGAAGAAAAGCACUAUUGAUUCCUGUACACAAAAAGCAUUUAAUGAGCGUCAGGAACAGUUCCCGGUGCUGGACAGAGGGGAGCACAGGACAAGCAUGGCCCCCGCCCUCCCGGAGCUCACAGCCAAGGUGGGCACAGGAGGCAGGGCAGCCUCAGCACGCUAGUGUGAUGAGAUGGGGAAGCAGAGGAGAAAACAGUCUGGUCUUGAAGGAUCGGCAAAGGCUUCCUGGAGGAAGUGACGCCUAAGGUAAAACUCAAAGGGAAAGUAAGAUUUACCUGUGAAAACGGGAGGGAAGCAAGUUUGGGGCGGAGAGAAGAGCAGGUGGGACGGGCCGGAGGAGAGGGGAACACCACCAGGGUUAGUGCCCACAGCAGGUGCUGCAGUGCCCACCCAGACCCUUCUCCAGGCCGCACACCAGCCCCUACCUGCCCGGAGAGCUGGCUGCUAAGGGCUCACAGCUGCCCCUUCUCAUCUGGAAAGUUACAAGCCAUUACCUCCUCCCGCCCCAUCCCCAGGGGGCAGCCCACACACUGGCUGAUACUGGGUUUCAAAAGGCUGGUGUUCUUGCUGGAAGUGGGGGUGGGGUGGGGGGUACACUUGUACAUGUAGUUUAUGCUCCAAGCUCCUUCUCCCUCGUGGAUGAGGCCAAGGCUAGGUUUCACCCGAGACCACAUCUCGCUCAGCUCCCUCCUCCCUUCGUUAGCGUUUUCCCUGAAGAGCAUCCCCUCAGUUAGUUACAUGUCCCCAAGCCCCUGACCUGCUUCUCAGGAACCGAAGCUAAGACAAUGGCGAAGGGAAAAUUGUUGAGACUGAAUCCUCUCUAUGCACUUGGUUCAAAUUGGAGCCCCAUUCACCAGUACCUACUUAAGUUACUCCCAUUGCCAAUAAACAUUCUUUUUUUUUUUUUUUAAAUAUAUUUUUUAUUGAUUUUUUACAGAGAGGAAGGGAGAGAGAUAG